rnacentral:lncRNA from 1 species
CUAUAAAUUGAUUUGUCAACUUUGAAUCAAGCAAAAAUUGAUAGAUUUGAAUUUUAAUCUGGUCAUGUAACUACAUAUUCAAAUCAAUAACCUUUAAUUUGCAUUGUUAUUUGGGUUUAUUUUGGGCUUAAUUACUAUAUGUAUUAUUAUGUUAAAAUUGUUUGUUUUUCUAAUUUUUUAUACACAUACAUGCAAUUCUUGUUUGGCAGAGUAGGGAGUGUGCAAAAAUAGCCUUGUCAACAAUUUAACACAGUUUCGAGAGAAAGGUAAGAUUUUAACCCUUUUUCUUAUUUUUCGUCCCUCGGCAUUGCAGUAUUAACUUAGAACUGGAAAACUUCAUCAAUGAGCUGGAAAGGUCGCCUCACCCUACUUCCCAACAUGGGUUUUUUUAUAGGACAGUAAAGAUGGCCAGCCCGGAAUUUUCCAUUGCUGUAACUCUGUAAGUAGGUAGACUAUGGUAACAGAAAGUGAUAAGAACUUCAACUUUUAGACACCGUACGUAGACGUGAGUUGUUGGAACUUGGCACCGUUUUACUUAAUUAUCCUCUAGUCCAAGGGUUAACCUUCAUCCAUUAGAUACUUAGAUAGUGAUGGUGCAUUAAAUAUCAAGACUGAUGGUGUUUCAUCUUCAAUUUCUUACUUACAUUGCAUAUCUUAACAAUUUCACUGAUGGGGCAUUAAAAAUCAUGACUGUCAACUAUGAAAAAAUAACGAGGCCUAUGAUGCUAAUAAAGAAUUAUGUUUCCAAAGAAAACAUAAGGUAGUCUUACUUACAUUUUGGCCAGACUUUGAUGGUUAGACGACUGUUGGUGAUUUGGUAUAAUCUUUAUAUGACAAGUGUAUCUGAUGUCGUGUAUCAGUGAUAGAUAUUUGACAUCAAAACAGCAGGUUUUGGUCAAUGGGGUUUCUUCUAGCUCUCUCGCUUCCUCUCAAUUUCCUUUGCAGUGUGUAUUGUGAGAGGUAGCAGGGUCUCAAUUUCCUUUGCAGUGUGUAUUGUGAGACGUGGCAGAGUCUAAUUGACAUGAUGGCCAUGUUUUAGUUACUUGAGGUAUCUUUUAAUGAACUUCAUUCCUUCUGUCUUGCUUUCCAUACAAUAUAACUUAGCAGUGGAAGCUAUGUUUAUGACUCUGUGUAAAGCUGUUUUCUUCAAUAUGGUAUUUAAGGUUAUGUUUUCUCUGUUGUUUGUUCUUAUCAUUUUUUUGUGGUACUGUAUUUACUGUUAUCUUGGACUAAAAUGGUCAUUUUCAUUCUAGACUUACGUUGUUUGUGAGAAGCUGCAUUAACUAGUUACCAUCCUCGGUGUCGAUUUUAUGUUUGUUUUUUUUCUGUACUCAAACAUAACAGCUCUAGGGGAAUUGGUACAUUUUAUGGAUUCAAUUUAGCAUGCAAGUAUGUUGUAGAAAAACAAUUAGCCGGUGUUUGGAAGCAUCAAGGAAAACUCUUAAAUCUCGAUGGAAUAUAAUAGUCGGUGUUUGUUUGUAAAACCUCCCAAAUCUAACCUGACUUAGUAAACCUCUGUAGUGGUAAGAGCUUUUGAUGUGAUCUUAGAAUAUGAAUCAAAAAUUCUUUUUCAUCUAUUAAUGUAUGUAAUAAGAAAUCAGGUCAGCAAGUUAUAUCCUCUAAAUUGGAGAAUGAAAGAAGAGGCCGAGGCAAGGAAGAAGCAAAUCAAAGAAAAUGGCGAAUGACAGAUUAAUCAUGUUGUCUGGCUUGUGAGUUGUGAUUCUCUAACUCCAAAAGCAGCAUCCUGGGAUGCUAUUUAUCCAUGAAACAAACCUGUCUGACUGAAUUCUCAUUAAGUCAUUGAUUGGCUCAUCUGUUUUUUUUUCUUGGUAAUUGGAAGUUUUGAAGCUCUCAUAUAAUAUGUUGGGAUCUCCAGAAUUAUGGUUUUUUUUCUUAAUUUAUUUAAUCACAUUGUAUUUUUUUUUUUUUUUUUUGUGAAGAGACAUUGUAGGUAUGGGGUUUCAUGAUAAAUAGGAUCUUUUUUGGACAACAGUUUUGGC